UUGACUGGCGACGAAUGAAGAGCUGGCUCUCAUCCUCCCAUCCCAACAGUGUCUGCUGUUCAAUUCUCUCCUCCAUAGCUCUGGCAAGGCAGGGACAACAGGGACUGCAUGUUUUCAUGACAUGCCGGCUGAUCGUGGUGUCAAAACACAGCAGCAGAACAUAGAGCCCAUAUAUCAGUAGCAGCCCUGCUCCUUCGUACCUAGACGUGGAGGAAAGGGCUGUGCAGUUAUCCAGUCAUUUUAAACAAUAUUCUCUAACAAAAGCAACAGUGGAAAAUUCAAGGAACCACUCCUAAAUGCUUUUAUUUACCCAGUUUUGGUUAUAGUAUGGUUACAAAUUCAUUGAUUAAAAAAUCUGCCUCUUUAAAAAGUAAUAUAAAAUCCAUUGUCUGACUUUAUAGAUUCCUUUCAAGUAAUAGGCACAAAAUAGUCGGAGAGUUAAAACUAAUUAAUAGAUAUUUUUUCAGUUCAUUUAUUUAGCAUACUACAUUUCUCAAAUAUUUAAUAAUUAGAAAAUAAAAUACUAUCUCUUAGAUUUUCUGAUACAGAAACAUGGUGUAGAAUACUUAGACUGUGCUAGGUUUUUGCUGGAGCUUUGCAGUUUGUUUUACAGAGAUUCAGAGGAAAGCCGGAGGUGGUGGGGUGUUGUUGGCUUUGAGGUCUCAUUGUAAAAGCCCAGACUGGCCUUGAACACUGCACCCUAGAUUGGCCUCAGACACUCAGAUUAUUAUCCUCCUACCUCUUCCACUUGAGUUUUGGGGGUUUUAUAUCUGUACUACUAUGCUUGGUCCCUUUUUGAUGAAUUGAUUGUAGCUUAAUUGGGUUUAUAUUCAUAAGAAAUAAAGAAUAUUCUCAAAAAUGAAAUUCUGGCAUACAGCACCAAGAAUUGUCUAUGCUUUGGUUUCCCAUUUUACUGUGUAUUAGGCUAAUUUUUAUCACAUUAAUAUUGUUAUUUUAUUUCAUAGCAGAGAAUCACUUCUCUGCUUCAACU
rnacentral:lncRNA from 1 species